UUUUGGACAAUGGGCGAAAGCCUGAUCCAGCAAUGCCGCGUGUGGGAAGAAGGCCUUCGGGUUGUAAACCACCUUUGUACGGAACGAAACGGUCUGCUUUAAUACAGUGGGCUAAUGACGGUACCGUAAGAAUAAGCACCGGCUAACUACGUGCCAGCAGCCGCGGUAAUACGUAGGGUGCGAGCGUUAAUUGGAAUUACUGGGCGUAAAGCGUGCGCAGGCGGUUAUAUAAGACAGUUGUGAAAUCCCCGGGCUCAACCUGGGAAUUGCAUCUGUGACUGUAUAGCUAGAGUACGGUAGAGGGGGAUGGAAUUCCGCGUGUAGCAGUGAAAUGCGUAGAUAUGCGGAGGAACACCGAUGGCGAAGGCAAUCCCCUGGACCUUACUGACGCUCAUCACAAAG
rnacentral:rRNA from 1 species